UAACAUUGUUUGCAUCAAACAUUAACCAUUAAAUUAGUUUUAAUGUUUAAUUUUUUUUCACCAAGCUAAAACUGGUUAAAGAAACUUAAAACCUAAUUUAUGGUAACUGAAGAAUGAUUGAUAUUGAUAAAAAAAACUGAUAGAAAUGUUGGUUUGAUAGAAAAGAAAAUAUAUAAAAUAAUUUGUUUAAUGUGCCACCAUACCAUUAAUGUGCCACCACAUAAAUGUAGAAAAUAUUAAUAAAGCUAUGGCAUCAAAAGUAAUCUUGACACAAAAAUGACAAAUCUCAAGUUAAAUGGUUCAUCAAAAUCUGUUAAAACGGAUGCAAGCACUAAAGAAGACAUUAAUUGCAAAUUGAAGCAGAAAUUUAUAACGAAUCAUGUUGAUGAUUAGAUAAGAAUUGCAGAAAAGCACCAUUGUCGAAUGAUUAUGAAUCAAAUC
rnacentral:lncRNA from 1 species